GCCGGAGUGGUGAAAGUGGUAGACGCAGGGGACUCAAAAUCCCCCGGGCUUUACGCUCGUCUCGGUUCGAGUCCGAGCUCCGGCACCA
rnacentral:tRNA from 1 species